rnacentral:rRNA from 1 species
AACGUAGGACACAAGCGUUAUCCGGAGUUACUGGGCGUAAAGGGCGUUUAGGCGGGUGAUUAAGUUCGCUAUGAAAGCGCCAGGCUAAACCUGGCGAGGCUGGCGGAUACUGGUCAUCUGGAGUGAGUCAGAGGAAGGUAGAAGUCCGCGUGUAGUGGUGAAAUGCGUAGAGAUGCGGAGGAAUACCAGUGGCGAAGGCGGCCUUCUGGGACUCAACUGACGCUGAAGCGCGAAAGCAUGGGGAGCGAACGGG